rnacentral:rRNA from 1 species
AUGGAGGGGGAUAACUACUGGAAACGGUAGCUAAUACCGCAUAACGUCGCAAGACCAAAGAGGGGGACCUUCGGGCCUCUUGCCAUCGGAUGUGCCCAGAUGGGAUUAGCUAGUAGGUGGGGUAAAGGCUCACCUAGGCGACGAUCCCUAGCUGGUCUGAGAGGAUGACCAGCCACACUGGAACUGAGACACGGUCCAGACUCCUACGGGAGGCAGCAUG